rnacentral:rRNA from 1 species
CGUUCCCGGGCCUUGUACACACCGCCCGUCACACCACGAAAGUCGGUAACACCCGAAGCCAGUGGCCCAACCCUUUUGGGAGGGAGCUGUCGAAGGUGGGAUCGGUGAUUGGGGUG